AAUAGACGUAUACCUGUGCGAUCGUCAGCGCCAAGCCUCUUAAUGAGAGAUUCAGUGUGACCUUGCCAACCCAUAAAGGUGGAAAGCAUGAAGGACUUAGCUUGAGAUGAGACUGGAAAGCGUUGGCAAGCACAGUCAAUAGAAAUGAAGUAUUACGCUGAGAGAAGCAAUCGAUUAACGUGAAAAGGUGUUAACCGUUCACUGCAGGAUGCGGUGAGGGAAGAUGGCUGGAAUGGAGUCCAUCAGUUGAAGAUCUAUACUGUGCAGCUCACAAGGGAGAGGCAAAUGCCAAAUAUACAUUCAUUUUUCUUUCCAGCAUGAAGCCACAUCAACAAGUCACAUUAUAGCAGCAUCCCUGCAAGAGACAAUGUAGGAAGGGCCACCUCUUUCUGCCCAUAGACUUCUACUCUAGAUUUAUUCACAAACUUGGAUAGAAUGUAAAAAGUGUUGCUAGAAUAAAGUCUAUAAUAUAUAUA